GUUCAGAUCCGUAGAGCCAGGCAAAUUUGGUUUUGACCAAAAUGAUACUUAGGAGUUGGAUAAGUUACUUACGCUGCCAGUCUUGGCUCCAAAUGACUUCCGCUUCCUGAACAAAUUAAAUCUGCCUUGAAGGAUGAAAAUGUGUGAUUAAUAAGGUUUCUCUUCAUGGAUUGCUUUGCGCUCCUCCUCCUGCAAGACAGUGAGUCUCCACAGGCCCAUGAAUGUCAUAAGUGAGUGCAAGCUUGAAGAAGCACCUAUCCUGUGCUCAGGACAAAAUAUCUGUGGUCCAGAGCAGAGCUCCCAACCCAGCUACUAUGAACCACGCUAGGCCCCAGAAAAGAAAGGAAAACAGAAGAGACAUUGGAUUGGAUCUUCCAGAAGGUCUUUGUUGCAAUUUUUCUCCAUCAUUGAAAAAAAAAUUACAUCAUCAAAUAAAGACAAUAGCAGCACAGCUUA
rnacentral:lncRNA from 10 species